AUUGAACGCUGGCGGCAGGCCUAACACAUGCCAGUCGAGCGGCAGCGGGUCCUUCGGGAUGCCGGCGAGCGGCGGACGGGUGAGUAAUGCCUAGGAAUCUGCCUGGCAGUGGGGGAUAACGUUCGGAAACGGACGCUAAUACCGCAUACGUCCUACGGGAGAAAGUGGGGGAUCUUCGGACCUCACGCUAUCAGAUGAGCCUAGGUCAGGAUUAGCUAGUUGGUGGGGGAACGGCUCACCAAGGCGACGAGCCGUAACUGUUCUGAGAGGAUGAUCAUGAACAAUGGAACUGGUACACGGUCCAUAGUCUUACGGGAGGCAGCAGUGGGGAAUAUUGGACAAUGGGCGAAAGCCUGAUCCAGCCAUGCCGCGUGUGUGAAGAAGGUCUUCGGAUUGUAAAGCACUUUAAUUUGGGAGGAAGGGCAUUAACCUAAUACGUUAGUGUUUUGACGUUACCAACAGAAUAAGCACCGGCUAACUUCGUGCCAGCCGCCGCAGUAACAC
rnacentral:rRNA from 1 species